GAUGAACGCUGGCGGCGUGCCUAAUACAUGCAAGUCGAGCGAACGGACGAGAAGCUUGCUUUUCUGAUGUUAGCGGCGGAUGGGUGAGUAACACGUGGAUAACCUAUCUCUAAGACUGGGAUAACUUCGGGUAACCGUAGCUCAUACCGGAUACUAUUUUGAACCGCAUGGUUCAAAAGUGAAAUACCGUCUUGCUGUCAAUUAUAGAUGUAUCCGCGCUGUAUUAGCUGGUUGGUAAGGUAACGGCUUACCAAGGCAACGAUGCAUAGCCGACCUGAGAGGGUGAUCGGCCACACUGGAACGUAGACGCGGUCCAUAGUACUGCGGGAGGCAGCAGUAGGGAAUCUUCCGCAAUGGUCGAGAGCAUUACGGAGCAACGCCGCGUGAGUUAUGAAGGUCUUGGGAUCGUAAUACUCGGUUUUUAGGGAAGAACAUAUGUGUAAGUAACUGUACACAUCUUGACGGUACCUGAACAGAAAGCAACGGCUAACUACGUG
rnacentral:rRNA from 1 species